rnacentral:rRNA from 1 species
AACGAACGCUGGCGGCAGGCUUAACACAUGCAAGUCGAGCGCCCCGCAAGGGGCGCGGCAGACGGGUGAGUAACGCGUGGGAACGUACCUUUUGGUUCGGAACAACUCCGGGAAACUGGAGCUAAUACCGGAUAAGCCCUAACGGGGAAAGAUUUAUCGGCGAAAGAUCGGCCCGCGUCUGAUUAGCUAGUUGGAGAGGUAACGGCUCACCAAGGCGACGAUCAGUAGCUGGUCUGAGAGGAUGAUCAGCCACACUGGGACUGAGACACGGCCCAGACUCCUACGGGAGGCAGCAGUGGGGAAUAUUGGACAAUGGGCGCAAGCCUGAUCCAGCCAUGCCGCGUGAGCGAUGAAGGCCUUAGGGUUGUAAAGCUCUUUUGUCCGGGAAGAUAAUGACUGUACCGGAAGAAUAAGCCCCGGCUAACUUCGUG